CAGCUCAAAUUUGAAAUCUGGCUCUUUUAGAGUCCGAGUUGUAAUUUGCAGAGGGCGCUUUGGCUUUGGCAGCGGUCCAAGUUCCUUGGAACAGGACGUCACAGAGGGUGAGAAUCCCGUACGUGGUCGCUGGCUAUUGCCGUGUAAAGCCCCUUCGACGAGUCGAGUUGUUUGGGAAUGCAGCUCUAAAUGGGAGGUACAUUUCUUCUAAAGCUAAAUAUUGGCCAGAGACCGAUAGCGCACAAGUAGAGUGAUCGAAAGAUGAAAAGCACUUUGGAAAGAGAGUCAAACAGCACGUGAAAUUGUUGAAAGGGAAGCGCUUGCAGCCAGACUUGCUUACAGUUGCUCAUCCGGGUUUCUACCCGGUGCACUCUUCUGUAGGCAGGCCAGCAUCAGUUUGGGCGGUAGGAUAAAGGUCUCUGUCACGUACCUCCUUUCGGGGAGGCCUUAUAGGGGAGACGACAUACUACCAGCCUGGACUGAGGUCCGCGCAUCUGCUAGGAUGCUGGCGUAAUGGCUGUAAGCGGCCCGUCUUGAAACACGGACCAAGGAGUCUAACAUCUAUGCGAGUGUUUGGGUGUCAAGCCCGAGCGCGUAAUGAAAGUGAACGGAGGUGGGAACCCGCAAGGGUGCACCAUCGACCGAUCCUGAUGUCUUCGGAAGGAUUUGAGUAAGAGCAUGGCUGUUGGGACCCGAAAGAUGGUGAACUAUGCUUGAAUAGGGUGAAGCCAGAGGAAACUCUGGUGGAGGCUCGCAGCGGUUCUGACGUGCAAAUCGAUCGUCAAAUUUGGGCAUAGGGGCGAAAGACUAAUC
rnacentral:rRNA from 1 species